rnacentral:rRNA from 1 species
UCCUACGGCCAUGCCACCCUGAACAAGCCCGAUCCCGUCCGAUCUCAGAAGCUAAGCAGGGCCGGGCCUGGUUAGUGCUUGGAUGGGAGACCACCUAGGAAGACCAGGUGCUAUAGGCA